AAAAGAAAAGAAAUAGAAUAGAAACAGAGAAGCAAAAACGAAAAAGAACGGAGAAAAGAAAGGAGGAGAAAUUAGGAUUUUCAAGUUCAAAGCUCAAUUGUUUGUUUUCGGUGCGCAGGUUAGGUUAAAGUUAGACUGACGAUUCAACAUCCAUCAGAGAUCUGGAACUCAAAACGUGGUGAAGUAUACUUCUUUUUGGCAAUGGCAUGUACCUAGGAUGUUUUAUGUUAAUCAUUUUGAAAAAUGAUUGUAAAUGAUGUUAAAGAUGAUAUUGGUUGCUUAUAUAUAUAUGAUAUGUUGAGGUUUAAUAUGGGAUGUAUGAGUAAAUGCAUAAGUAAGUAUGAUAUAGGCAUAUUUGAGUUGUAAUUGACAUGAUUUUAGAGUAAGAUUGAAUGAAGUUUUAAUGGAUUGUUUUGAGAAUA